rnacentral:lncRNA from 1 species
CGCUUGGGGCCGCCCGUCCGGAGAUUUUAUCCGACUUCUCCCGAAUCUAAUUCCGUGGGGGAGGAAGCGAAGUAAAACUGGCUGUUUUAGGUUCAUGGACGAUGCAUUUCUGGGCAUGAGGUUCAGCUCUCUGUAUCCUGCUGUUGAAGUAAGUUUGAGAGAGUCAAAUCGUUUCUCACUGUGGUCCUCACUGUGGUAAUGACAGAGAGUCACAGAGAAGAUUCCGGUUNNNNNNNNNNNNNNNNNNNNNNNNNNNNNNNNNNNNNNNAGCCAAGGAGCAGCAACAAGAAGGAAAGACAAGGCAAGGUGGCCGCCGAGUGGCUCGGGGUUCUGCAUGAUCCCAGCGCGCAGCUGCAGCUGGCGUGGGUGCGGCUCCCGUGGGGAGGCCCUGGGGGCUCGGUCUCACUGGCAUGCUAAUGUCCCUUCCUGCCUCACAUGUCUCAUCUGGGAAAUGAAGGCAUGGGGGUGUGUAUGUGCGGGGGUGGGGAGGGUGGGGAGCUGUGCAUUCAUUCAUUCAUUCAUUCAUGGAUCUGUUUGCUUAUUCAUCCACAUAACUUUUUUUUUUUUUUUCCCCACACAUUGAUUCUGUGCUAGGUGCUGGGGAUGCAGAAAUGAGUAACAUUGGGCUCCUGCCCUCCUGGGAUCACAGUCUUAUGGGCAGGAUAGGUAAGUACGCAAAUAAACCCAGAAAAGUCAUCUGCGUGAUAACAGGAGUGUAAGGUGCCCAGCCCUGUUUAGAAAUGUCGAGAUAGCUCAACGGAAAGGAUGAGUGAAGGAUGCCAAAAGCGUGGAAGAGUAUUCCAGAGGGAAGCCUAGAUCUUGCAAAAGAACUUUGCCGGAGAACGAUAGCAAGGCCGAAAGAUCUUUCAGGGAGGGAAAGGCAGAGAAGGCAGUGGCGACUCUCCAGUUCUCAGUAACCACCUGAGAUUCCAGUUUAUCGAGUCAAAGGAAUUUUUCCUUCCUCUGAAUUUUGAAAACCAUUCCGGCCCUUCUCAGACUCUCCCAACUGUUUAAGUACCACAGAUGGGGCCGCUGACACUUGUUACCAGGUCAGGCAUGGAGAGAUCUCUUGUUGUAUUUUUCACACAGACCCUUGAUGGAGCCUGAAGACUUUAUGGAGACGGCUGUGAUUCUUACGUUCUGUGGGGUCAAGGGCUCCUCGGAGAAUGGGAAGAAAGUGAUAAAUCAUCUCCCCAGAAAAUACACAUCAUUUCCGUAAAUUUUCAGGCGUUUCCAGAAUCAUCCCCCCCGCCCAACCCACUCAUAUGUUCCAGGUAAAGAACUUCCCUCCUAGCCUUGAGCCAUGGAUCAGGGGACUGGCGUGACCCAGUGCAGACACUGAGUUUUGUGGCUAUCUGGCCUGACGUGGGCAUUCAGCUUGGACAUUCUUGAGAAAGCAACACCCCAAGGCAGACCCUGGGCUGGCAUGCAGUGCAGACAAGUGCACUUUGCUCAGACUUGCAGCCCAGUGGUCUGGGACCUGGCAAAAGCAGGGAGGCAAGUUAGCUGCCCACUCACGAGCAGUGAUCUGCGGAGGUCAGAGAUGGACUGAGGUCGGUGACAGGCAGAGGUGGGUGAUGGGCGGAGGUCAGUGAACAGCAAAUGUGUUUUGUCAGGCUCCCCAGCAAUUACACUGAAGUGUGUCCCCGUCUGGGUACUUUCUUUUGACUUGAGUUGGCGAAUUGGGUAGGAGGGAUGGUGGUGAUGCCAAGGCCAUUCUCAGACGGGAUAGAGCAAAGGCAGAUGAGCAAGGAGACCACAGGAGCUGUUGUAGCUCAGGUACCGACAGAGCUUUGAAAGGAAACAGAAUCCUUUGUCAGAGGACCUCAGCAGCCCCAUACUAGGGUGAAGCAAGAGGAGUUUUCCAUGGGUGCACGAUGUCAGGGGGGAGUGCCCAAAACUCAGUAAUUAAGAUAACUAAUAUUUUGAUGCACUUUUAAAAGGUCAAAAUUAAUGCAAACAUCCACGAUGAAAAGAAUUUCAAAAAAAAAUUUUUUUAAUUUUUU